UGGGAACAGAAACCAUUUGUUGCCUCUGGGUUCUCUCCAUCUCAAUCCAAAGUUCUCUCUCGUCAAAAACCCCAUCUCCACAAAUCUCUCUCUCUCAAUCUCGCGCACCAUCGCUUAACCUCGCUCAUUUCUCACAAUCUCUCAUUCGCUCUCAAGCGCUACCCACGAACUCUCUCACGCUCUCAGCAAACUCUCUCAAUCGCGUCUCUCUCAAUCUCACUCACACCAAACCCUCAUUCAAUCGAUCGCGUCCUCAACCUCUAGUCUCCCUCACGAAAUCGCUCAGUCAUCGUCCCUCAAGCUAAACGCGACAAGACAAAGAAGCCAUGGUUCCCAAGAGAAAGUCGGACAGGACGGCUAACCUUCGACGGUGACGGCGAGCUCAGGGUUUGGGAUUUGGUCUAUGGAGUCCAAAAGAGUAUCCUGCAAAAGCCCUUUAGGGAUUCUCAGUUUUGGAUUUCCCUAUUCGAUGCUAAAUCAAAAACGUGAAUUCGGAGUGGGUAUACACUGAUGUAACGCAAGCAAUAGUUGAUUCCUUAAGCUUGGUGUUCUUGUCAUGAAUCAAAGGAAUUAACUUAGCAAGCCACAAUCUAGUAUGCCAAUAUCAGCAGCAACAACAUAAUGAUAAUCAGCAUCACUUUGCUGAUUGACUCUUUGUUCAUUAGAAUUUGGACUCUCUGAUUCAUUUGAAGCUAGGAGAAAAAUCCUCAGUUGUAUCAUCUCAACUACCUGGAACCUUUUUAGUGAACAAAAUCUUGAGAAGGUGAGAUCAUGCUCGGAUAGCGCCUCAGAAGUUGAAGAUUCAGCCAAUCAGUAAGGUACAACGUUGUGGUUCCUUCUCUAAGCUUCUUGAAAUGGUAAGUUCAACUAAGUCUCCUAGUUUUCAAAACAGGUAAAUCUGCAGGCUGUGUUGCAGUAACUCAUUCUCUAAUCAUUGCAUUUCAACACCCUCAGAAACAUAGUAAUCACAUGCAACACAGCUUUUUGACAUUGCUAGACAAACUCUUGAUCUCUUACAUGAUUUAUUAUGCAGGAAUUCCUGAAGAGUCUGAUCAUCACCAGCCAAUGGAACAAGGAUAGAAGGAAAUUCGGCCCAAAAGUUCAGUUUGCCAUUUAUCUUGUGACAGACUACAUGGAAAUGCAUAGCACUGAAGACUUUCAAUCUGAACUGCAGCAGGAACACCCUCACGGUGCAGCUAAGAAAUGGAGGUGUUCACGGAAGCAUUUACAGAUAUACAACUGGUUAAUGCAAGAUUCUUCAGAACCGCCGGAGUUUAACGAAAUGGAUUUUGGGUAUGACAUAUUCUUGGGAGCUACAUCCUUAGAACCUGUACCGUGCAACCGGUCCCUUGAUGUAUGCUUGUAUUAUUCUUGCAACAUCUACUUCUCUCCACGAAUGUUGCCUUUGAAGUUCUUGCAUCCGGUUAAGGAUUACGUGUUAUUUGUAAAAGCUGCAUUUCACUUAUCCAGGACUGCUGUCUAAAGAAAGACUGAAACAUGCCUGAUGGUCAACUGAAUUAGUUAUCGCGCCAUCACAGAGGUCGGCGCUUGCGAGAAAGCUUGACCUUGUCAAUAAACCUGUUGCCGUGAUAUUGGUGGAUGGUACAUAAGCAACUACAUUUUUAUUAAUCCAUGCAGCAACUGCUGAAGGAGAUUCUCCGAUUCUCAGUACCUCUCCGUUGGUGACAACAACAAUAGCGUCGAUGCUGUUUUUUUGAAAAGGCUUGUAGUAAGGUGCAAUGGAAGAGAUCGUGCAAGCUUGCCCAUAUCAACCUUUAGAAGCACUUCUUUUUCAGUAUUGAACCGUGUUGGACAUGUUGAUCGUGUGGAAUUAGAUGCAAGGCUAUGAAGUGCGUUGGAUAGGGGGCUGUUGUAGGUUGUUGCUUUUUUUGGAUGCUGGUUCCGUUGUGGUUUUUGAUACAUUGUUGUGGAAUUUGGAGGAACCAAACUAAUUCAAGAGGUUAAGGUUUUGGUGCAGAAUUAUGCAGAAUUUUGAUGCUUAUUAUGCAGAAUUUUGAUGCAGCAUUAUGCAGAAUUUGGUGCUUCUUAUGCAGAAUUUUGAUGCUGAAUUGUGCAGAAUUUUGAUGCUGAAUUGUGCAGAAUUUUGAUGCUGAAUUGUGCAGAAUUUUGAUGCAGUAUCAUGCAGAAUUUUGGUGUUCAUGUGAAUGUCUUGCUAAAACUUGGUAAUUUGAAUGGUAGCAAUGUUAAUUACAAAUGACUUCUAUUUGGAUGGCUUAGGAUUUCUUGGAUUUGGAUAUGUCUUUGGAUAAUUGUUUUGGAGUUAAAUGAUUAAUCGAACGUAUGUAUGAAAAUGAGUUUGGACAUGUUGUAAUGGUUGUGCAAUGUCAUGGUUUAUGGAAAUAUGUAUGUUGCAAUUUGGUUCAUGGUUAUGUAAUGGCCUAGAUAUGAAUGCAUGGUUGAAUAUGAUUUUUGAAUGUAUGAUAUUAAUGAAUGAAUGAGAAUUUGGUUGAAA